rnacentral:misc_RNA from 1 species
AAAGAUUUUUAUUGUGCCAUCUUUGAAUAAUUGUUUUAAUUUGUAUUUUUAAUGAACUUGAAAAAGAGAUCAGUUUGAUGGUUUUUGUUAAUAUCUAUAUUCUUUAACAAUGGCCAGUUAUUUUUCACAUUUUAUAUUUAUAUCUUAUACAUUUAUAUAAUUUUGCGUAUGUGUUCAGUUUUAUGAGAUUAAACUUUUGCUAGAUUAAGAAAUAGAUCUUUGAUAUUCAUGUAUACCAAGAGAUUAUUGUAUUUAUGAAAUGCAUAUAUAGAGUGAAGGGAAAAAAGAAACUGCAUAAGUUUGUAUGGCAUAGAUAGAAUCAAUUUCGCAUUAGUUACAUGUACAUUUAAAAAGUUAAUCAACAAGCGUCAAAUUUUAAAAAUUACAAACACAAGAGUAUAACUUUAAUUUAUCCAUAGAGAAAGGUGAUCUUAUGAUUUGCAGAAUGAAAUCAGUGUGUUAAAUUAACCAUGGCCAUAUUAUAUAUUGGAUUUUGUUUCAUUUUUCUAGUCCACAACAAAUAAGACAUUAACAAUGCACUUUCAUUUGAAACUAUUAGUAACCAUUAAGUUUGACUGCAAUGAGCCAGUUGUCAGUAUAUAUAUUUUAUGAAUAGAUGCCAGUACUUUUUAUUUUAUUAAUGCCUGUAACUAUUAUGAUUUAAUACAUUUACAACGCAUGAACAUGUAACUGUAUCUAUAAAAGAAGAUUUGCUUCUUCUUUUUUUUUUGCCUGCAUCUUCAUUCCUGAUUUGAGUUCAUGGAUUUAUUGGUGCUAUUUCUAUUAUUUUUACAUAUAUGUAUGCAGUGGCUGCUAUUUAUUAUUUAACCUGUUAUAGAUCUAGCCUUGUACAUGUAUAUAUAUUGUCUUUUAUUCACUGCGUAGUAAAUGAAAUGUUAGAUAAUGUCCCUCAACUAUGUCAGAGUUAUGUAGAAGGAGUUGUUUUAUUGUGUUAGCUUGUUAAAGCUUUGUUGUACUGAUUUGAUUACGAUUUGAUUCAUCGAAUGCUCUCGAAGCGUAUAUGUCACUUUGGACAAGCUAGUGUGUUUAAAAAAGUUGCUGUUGUGUGAAUUUCAAUUUGUACAUGUUGUUACUAAAUGAUGUCUUACCGCUUGUUUAGGCCUCCCAUAGCAGUAGGAUAAGCUUGUAAUUGUUAAGUUUCCGAUUGUCUUCCCACCUAUUGACAUUGUUGCCAGUUAUAGGAAUAUUUAUCAUUGUUACUGAGGACAACUCUCUCUCUCUAUGAUCCGCCCUUAUCAUCUUCAGAUAUACAAUGUAUCAUGUACAUGUUUUUAUGCUUUGAACAAUCAGUACAGUUGAGUUGUAUACAUGUAGCUAUUUUUAACUUUCAAUUCUCUUCAAAAAAAUCAACAGCUGUUUGU